CGGUAGCUAAAUGCGGAAGAGAUAAGUGCUGAAAGCAUCUAAGCACGAAACUUGCCCCGAGAUGAGUUCUCCCUGACCCCUUGAGAGUCCUGAAGGAACGUUGAAGACGACGACGUUGAUAGGCCGGGUGUGUAAGCGCAGCGAUGCGUUGAGCUAACCGGUACUAAUGAACCGUGAGGCUUAACCUU
rnacentral:rRNA from 1 species